rnacentral:snoRNA from 1 species
AUCCUUUUGUAGUUUGAGUGCGAUGAUUGGCUGUUCAUGUGCGUGUAUGAGAUGUGCCACCCUUGAACCUUGUCAUGUCUGAUGUGAAA